rnacentral:rRNA from 1 species
CGAAAGACGGGUGAGAAUCCCGUCCACCGAUUGACUAAGGUUUCCAGAGGAAGGCUCGUCCGCUCUGGGUUAGUCGGGUCCUAAGCUGAGGCCGACAGGCGUAGGCGAUGGAUAACAGGUUGAUAUUCCUGUACCACCUAUAAUCGUUUUAAUCGAUGGGGGGACGCAGUAGGAUAGGCGAAGCGUGCGAUUGGAUUGCACGUCUAAGCAGUAAGGCUGAGUAUUAGGCAAAUCCGGUACUCGUUAAGGCUGAGCUGUGAUGGGGAGAAGACAUUGUGUCUUCGAGUCGUUGAUUUCACACUGCCGAGAAAAGCCUCUAGAUAGAAAAUAGGUGCCCGUACCGCAAACCGACACAGGUAGUCAAGAUGAGAAUUCUAAGGUGAGCGAGCGAACUCUCGUUAAGGAACUCGGCAAAAUGACCCCGUAACUUCGGGAGAAGGGGUGCUCUUUAGGGUUAACGCCCAGAAGAGCCGCAGUGAAUAGGCCCAAGCGACUGUUUAUCAAAAACACAGGUCUCUGCUAAACCGUAAGGUGAUGUAUAGGGGCUGACGCCUGCCCGGUGCUGGAAGGUUAAGAGGAGUGGUUAGCUUCUGCGAAGCUACGAAUCGAAGCCCCAGUAAACGGCGGCCGUAACUAUAACGGUCCUAAGGUAGCGAAAUUCCUUGUCGGGUAAGUUCCGACCCGCACGAAAGGCGUAACGAUUUGGGCACUGUCUCAACGAGAGACUCGGUGAAAUCAUAGUACCUGUGAAGAUGCAGGUUACCCGCGACAGGACGGAAAGACCCCGUGGAGCUUUACUGUAGCCUGAUAUUGAAAUUCGGCACAGCUUGUACAGGAUAGGUAGGAGCCUUUGAAACGUGAGCGCUAGCUUACGUGGAGGCGCUGGUGGGAUACUACCCUAGCUGUGUUGGCUUUCUAACCCGCACCACUUAUCGUGGUGGGAGACAGUGUCAGGCGGGCAGUUUGACUGGGGCGGUCGCCUCCUAAAAGGUAACGGAGGCGCUCAAAGGUUCCCUCAGAAUGGUUGGAAAUCAUUCAUAGAGUGUAAAGGCAUAAGGGAGCUUGACUGCGAGACCUACAAGUCGAGCAGGGUCGAAAGACGGACUUAGUGAUCCGGUGGUUCCGCAUGGAAGGGCCAUCGCUCAACGGAUAAAAGCUACCCCGGGGAUAACAGGCUUAUCUCCCCCAAGAGUUCACAUCGACGGGGAGGUUUGGCACCUCGAUGUCGGCUCAUCGCAUCCUGGGGCUGUAGUCGGUCCCAAGGGUUGGGCUGUUCGCCCAUUAAAGCGGUACGCGAGCUGGGUUCAGAACGUCGUGAGACAGUUCGGUCCCUAUCCGUCGUGGGCGUAGGAAAUUUGAGAGGAGCUGUCCUUAGUACGAGAGGACCGGGAUGGACAUACCUCUGGUGUACCAGUUGUCGUGCCAACGGCAUAGCUGGGUAGCUAUGUGUGGACGGGAUAAGUGCUGAAAGCAUCUAAGCAUGAAGCCCCCCUCAAGAUGAGAUUUCCCAACUUCGGUUAU